rnacentral:lncRNA from 1 species
GCAAGACUCCAUCCAAAAAAAAAAAAAGUGUGACCUGAGCUGAGUAUUGGAGGACAAAUAAAUGAUGUUCUGGGAAGAGGAAUGUGAAUGUAUAUAUAAAAUAUGUAAGUGUGAAAUACGGCAUAUUUGAGCCAUGCAUUAUUUGGGGAACUGCCAGAAAUUCAGCAUGCCUGAAAUUUUGGGUGUAUAUAAGACUGUUAGGGCCAGGCACGGCGGCUCAUGCUUGUAAUCCCAGCACUUUGGGAGCCGAGGCAGGCGAAUCACAUGAGGCUAGGAGUUUGAGACCAGCCCGGCCAACAUGGCGAAACCCUGUCUCUACUGAAAAUACAAAAAAUUAGCCAAACCUAGUGGCACUUGCCUGUAAUCACAGCUACUCGGGGGGAGGGCUGAGGCACAAGAAUCGCUUGAACCCGGGAGGCAGAGGUUGCAGUGAGCCAAGAUCGCACCACUGCACUCCAGCCUGGAGACAGAGCGAGACCCUGUCUCAAAACAAAACAAAAACCUGCUAGAAAUGCCAUUGUCCCUUCUUGUACCCUUCCCCUAGAAAGGUCCCUUUUUUAUUCUUUUUUAUCCUCUUUCACUUUCUCUUUACAUAACUUGGCUCAAGGCUCCUCGGCUUGCAAAUGAUAAGAGGUGGAAAUCAAAGCCCUGAUUCAUCUCUCUGUCUCUAGUCUGUACUCCUUCUCUUAUGCUACUUUGAAGAUUUUCCAUUCUUUGAAUAAAAUUUGUCAUUAUUUUACUAGGAUUUUUGUGAGGGAGAUUGUGAUAGGUUGUGCUUUACUAGACUAAUUUUGGUCAUUACAUUUAGAUUUUAUAGAGCUAAUAGGAUGAGUGCAAGUAGGGGAAGAUGUACUCCAUAUUAAUUCAAUUAAAUAUACAUAUACUGAAUGCAGUUGAACGUAACUAUUGUGUUAGCUAUUAUUGAAAAUACAAAUCAGAUUACAUUUUCUGUCCUUAAGAAGCUUAUAUUCUAAUACAGGAAAUCAUGCAGGAAAAAAAUCUAAUGCCAGAUGGUUCGUCAAACAGCUGUCUGUUAAGCUUAGCACUAGGGCCAUGUUUCUCAACUUUUAUUUCCAUUAUCAGCCCCCUUAUGGAACCCUUUUAGACCUGUUUUUCCUAUUCAGCACCCCACUGUAAAAUUUUAACACCAUAGAUACACUGUAUAUGCUUUAAUGGACUGUAUGUGUAUCUAUGCUUUAUAUAUAAAACAUACUUUUUUUCAUACCCUCCCAAAAAAACAAUUUUUUCCUCUUGGGGAGUAAUAUUGCCCAUGUUGAAAAUGUGUACACUAAACUAGAGUUACCAUUUGCAAGGUCUAAGAUUGGGAGUAAAAUUCUAGUUUCAGGAUUUUAGUAAAUAUCUAACCAUAUAUUAUAAUUUAGAAAUUAAAUUUUCUGAGUUCAGGUAAAACGCACAGCACUGUCAGCAUCAGAUCAAAAAAUAAAAUAAUUGUAUAUGCACAUACUUGUGUGGCUAAGCUUAAGCUUGUCACGUUGUGCAACUUCAGAGAGUAUAUUUACAGUAUAGUCUGUGUGAUGGGAAGGAAAGGAGGGAAUGAAAAAUCAUUUGAAAUUAUAACCAUGAUGUGAUUAAAAGACAAAAUCAUCUUAAAGUUUUCUUGACAUUCCUAUCUUGAACAGAAUUAUGUGUUUGUCC